GGCCCCGUAGCUCAGUGGAUAGAGCAAGGAACUUCUAAUUCCUAGGUCGGGCGUUCGAAUCGCUCCGGGGUCGCCA
rnacentral:tRNA from 1 species